GACGAACGCUGGCGGCGUGCUUAACACAUGCAAGUCGAACGGUAAGGCCCUUCGGGGUACACGAGUGGCGAACGGGUGAGUAACACGUGGGUGAUCUGCCCUGCACUUCGGGAUAAGCCUGGGAAACUGGGUCUAAUACCGGAUAGGACCCUGGGAUGCAUGUCCUGGGGUGGAAAGCUUUUGCGGGUUGGGAUGGGCCUGCGGCCUAGCGGGUUGUUGGGGGGGUGAUGGCCUACCAAGGCGACGACGGGUAGCCGGCCUGAGAGGGUGACCGGCCACACUGGGACUGAGAUACGGCCCAGACUCCUACGGGAGGCAGCAGUGGGGAAUAUUGCACAAUGGGCGCAAGCCUGAUGCAGCGACGCCGCGUGAGGGAUGACGGCCUUCGGGUUGUAAACCUCUUUCAGCACCGACGAAGCGCAAGUGACGGUAGGUGCAGAAGAAGGACCGGCCAACUACGUGCCAGCAGCCGCCGUAA
rnacentral:rRNA from 1 species